UACUCGAGUGGCGAACGGGUGAGUAACACGUGGGUGAUCUGCCCUGCACUUCGGGAUAAGCCUGGGAAACUGGGUCUAAUACCGGAUAGGAGCCAUUUUUAGUGUGAUGGUUGGAAAGUUUUUUCGGUGUAGGAUGAGCUCGCGGCCUAUCAGCUUGUUGGUGGGGUAAUGGCCUACCAAGGCGUCGACGGGUAGCCGGCCUGAGAGGGUGGACGGCCACAUUGGGACUGAGAUACGGCCCAG
rnacentral:rRNA from 1 species